AGUGAACGCUGGCGGUAGGCCUAACACAUGCAAGUCGAACGGCAGCACAGGAGAGCUUGCUCUCUGGGUGGCGAGUGGCGGACGGGUGAGGAAUACAUCGGAAUCUACUCUGUCGUGGGGGAUAACGUAGGGAAACUUACGCUAAUACCGCAUACGACCUACGGGUGAAAGCAGGGGACCUUCGGGCCUUGCGCGAUAGAAUGAGCCGAUGUCGGAUUAGCUAGUUGGCGGGGUAAAGGCCCACCAAGGCGACGAUCCGUAGCUGGUCUGAGAGGAUGAUCAGCCACACUGGAACUGAGACACGGUCCAGACUCCUACGGGAGGCAGCAGUGGGGAGUAUUGGACAAUGGGCGCAAGCCUGAUCCAGCCAUACCGCGUGGGUGAAGAAGGCCUUCGGGUUGUAAAGCCCUUUUGUUGGGAAAGAAAUCCAGCUGGCUAAUACCCGGUUGGGAUGACGGUACCCAAAGAAUAAGCACCGGCUAACUUCGUGCCAGCCGCCGCCGUAA
rnacentral:rRNA from 1 species